rnacentral:rRNA from 1 species
UGAGGUUAAGCGACUAAGCGUACACGGUGGAUGCCCUGGCAGUCAGAGGCGAUGAAGGACGUGCUAAUCUGCGAUAAGCGUCGGUAAGGUGAUAUGAACCGUUAUAACCGGCGAUUUCCGAAUGGGGAAACCCAGUGUGUUUCGACACACUAUCGUUAAGUGAAUACAUAGCUUAACGAAGCGAACCGGGGGAACUGAAACAUCUAAGUACCCCGAGGAAAAGAAAUCAACCGAGAUUCCCCCAGUAGCGGCGAGCGAACGGGGAGGAGCCCAGAGUCUGAAUCAGCGCGUGUGUUAGUGGAACGGUCUGGAAAGUCCGGCGGUACAGGGUGAUAGCCCCGUACACUAAAAUGCACACGUUGUGAACUCGAAGAGUAGGGCGGGACACGUGGUAUCCUGUCUGAAUAUGGGGGGACCAUCCUCCAAGGCUAAAUACUCCUGACUGACCGAUAGUGAACCAGUACCGUGAGGGAAAGGCGAAAAGAACCCCGGCGAGGGGAGUGAAAAAGAACCUGAAACCGUGUACGUACAAGCAGUGGGAGCCUCUUUAUGGGGUGACUGCGUACCUUUUGUAUAAUGGGUCAGCGACUUAUAUUCUGUAGCAAGGUUAACCGUAUAGGGGAGCCGCAGGGAAACCGAGUCUUAACUGGGCGUUAAGUUGCAGGGUAUAGACCCGAAACCCGGUGAUCUAGCCAUGGGCAGGUUGAAGGUUGGGUAACACUAACUGGAGGACCGAACCGACUAAUGUUGAAAAAUUAGCGGAUGACUUGUGGCUGGGGGUGAAAGGCCAAUCAAACCGGGAGAUAGCUGGUUCUCCCCGAAAGCUAUUUAGGUAGCGCCUCGUGAACUCAUCUUCGGGGGUAGAGCACUGUUUCGGCUAGGGGGUCAUCCCGACUUACCAACCCGAUGCAAACUACGAAUACCGAAGAAUGUUAUCACGGGAGACACACGGCGGGUGCUAACGUCCGUCGUGAAGAGGGAAACAACCCAGACCGCCAGCUAAGGUCCCAAAGUCAUGGUUAAGUGGGAAACGAUGUGGGAAGGCACAGACAGCCAGGAUGUUGGCUUAGAAGCAGCCAUCAUUUAAAGAAAGCGUAAUAGCUCACUGGUCGAGUCGGCCUGCGCGGAAGAUGUAACGGGGCUAAACCAUGCACCGAAGCUGCGGCAGCGACACUAUGUGUUGUUGGGUAGGGGAGCGUUCUGUAAGCCGUUGAAGGUGGCCUGUGAGGGUUGCUGGAGGUAUCAGAAGUGCGAAUGCUGACAUAAGUAACGAUAAAGCGGGUGAAAAGCCCGCUCGCCGGAAGACCAAGGGUUCCUGUCCAACGUUAAUCGGGGCAGGGUGAGUCGACCCCUAAGGCGAGGCCGAAAGGCGUAGUCGAUGGGAAACAGGUUAAUAUUCCUGUACU